rnacentral:misc_RNA from 1 species
AUUGAAUUAUUUACAUUUCCUGAAUGAUGAAGUUUGUAUUCUAAUGUAUGGUGCCAACGUGUAGUGAAAUUAUUUUCUCACGGAUAUCUUUCGUUUAGAUUUGGUAUCGUAUUGUUGCUGUAAGGCAUCUUCUCGUUUGAAUUCAUGCAACAGACAGAAACGACUUCUCGGAAGAAGUACUUUGUUUGUGAAAGACAUUUUGCAAUAUUAACAGGGCAGAAGUAAAACGCCGUGCCAGCCAGUUUGCUUUAUAAAAUACAUAAUACAACGCUGAAGCUUUCAGUACGUGGAUAACGUAAACAUUCUCUCGUGGCGGGGCGUGGGUAUUAAUAAAACAUUAUACACAAAAAUCCGCGAGAAUCCCGCAACAACCCGAUGGAACAAACAGCUUCGACGAACAUCAAGCUGCCUUAACUUUGCGAUCGAGAACUUGGCAAACUUUGUUAAACACUAGCCGUGCAAUUUUCAUAACGGGGAAAAAUAUGCUUCUCGAUCCGUUAUUUGUUGAAAAUGGCAGAAAAACGAUUAAACGUUAUCAAAACAUAAAAAAUUCAACGGAGAGGAUUGUUAUUUAUUUGUAAUUAGAUAUUUCAAGCAAUCAGAUUGACUUGGUUUAAAAAAUUCAAUUAAAAGCAUGCAAUUCCUACAAAGCACGGAACGUAUUAAUGAUUCAAUUGAUGCAAUAAAACUUUCCGUUCUAACGUAAAUAUCCUCAACCAAUUUAUUCCAUUCGAUUAUUAAUUUAAUCUUUUGAAAAAUAGCUGUCCAACCUCGAGCUUUCGUCUGUCACUUUCAAAUUCAACGUGUUCGCGAUGCCGAGGUUCAAGGAGCCACGAAACAAGCGAACUUCUUUUCUUUUUCUUCUUCUUUCUUAAUUGCUUACCUCCCGUCACCGUUUCCAGCGUGAACGCAUUAAAUCGCCAGUUGCUAGCCUUCUGUAACACGCACUGCAACAAACCAUCAAAUAUCGCAUUAGGUCGACAGUGAAAUAAACGAUUGCCGCUAGAAAGGGUUGAAACGUGUUCCCGAGCACAAUGUCACUGUAAUGGAACAACCGUGUCCAUUUCUCGAGAAUAUAAUAAAAUAAAUCAUUAAGGAUCUGGAACGUGGCUCUGUUAAUCGAACUCUCUCGUGUCGUUUCGUGAAAUAUCUCGGAGCAAUAGCAAGCUUCAAUAAACGCGUAAUAAUACAUACGUGGGUCAGUGAUUCAAAGAGAGCUUUCAAUAAAUUUCAAACCUUCUGUUAUAGAAACUUUCGAACGUAUUGAAUACAAAAGUUUCGCAGAAUGCUUGCCACAUGUUCCUUUGCGUUUAUUUCGUUUAUUAGCGAACAGAAUUAAUAGCAAAUUAAGGAUAUGACUAAUAAUUAAAUUGAUG